GGGCGCUUGGCUCAGUGGUUAGAGCACCGCCUUCACACGGCGGGGGUCAGUGGUUCGAAUCCACUAGCGCCCACCA
rnacentral:tRNA from 1 species